rnacentral:misc_RNA from 1 species
AAGUCGUAACAAGGUUUCCGUAGGUGAACCUGCGGAAGGAUCAUUCACAAUAAGAGUGUUUAUGGCACUCUUCAAAAAAUCCAUACCCACCUUGUGUGCAACGUAAGAAGAAAAAGAGAAAGACGCGAGUCAUGAGGGCAACCUCAAGUCUUGCUCCCCUCUCUCUUUUUCUUUUCCACAUACACCUUUCUAUUAGUUCCUAUUGUCUGAAGCUGUUAGAGAAUGACUAAUUCUUAAACAUAACUUUCAACAACGGAUCUCUUGGCUCUC